rnacentral:lncRNA from 1 species
AAUGCGGCCACUUUCAUUUAAGACGGGAACCGUCUAAACUUUAACUAAAAUGAUAAAAUUGUGAAGAUUUCAGUAAUUUAGCAUGACUUAAUGAUGCUAGUACCCGAUAUAUGUGCAUUGAAUUGUCAAAAACAGAAUAGUAUUUGGCAUAUUUCAUUAGUUCUUAAUAGGCCAGAAUAUUAUCCAAAAUCCUCCUGCACCGUACAUUUAUUUAAAAUAAAACUUUAAAACUGAAACCAUUUCGAUGUAAUAAGGGACAGA